UGUAAAUGUUGCUCGGAUAGCGGUUCGCUUAGGAUGGGUUCCCCUGAAAGCACUCCCUGGAAGCCUUCAGUUCCACCUUAUAGAAGAGUUUCCGAUAUUGGACACCAUUCAGAAAUACCUUUGGCCCCGACUAUGCGAGCUUGACCAUAGAACACUCUAUGAACUGCACUAUCAGAUGAUAACCUUUGGAAA